GAGGGAAUAGUUUAAUGGUAGAACAACAGACUUUCAUGCUGGAUAUACCGGUUCGAAUCCGGUUUCCCUUU
rnacentral:tRNA from 6 species